rnacentral:misc_RNA from 1 species
UUUUUUUUUUUUUUUCCUUUAACUCAAGUAUUAUGGUGUCACUAAGAGUCCCAAUUACUCCACCAAACCCACUCGAGUAUGCACCUUUAAGAGUCACACUAGAGCCAUCACGUGUACCAAGAGUUCCUACUUCAUCGGUUUGCUCUUCUCUAGAAAAGUGCCUUCCUACUCCAUUGGGCCUACUAGGAGCCUCCUGACUCUUCCAUCCACGUGUCAGAGCACCACGAGAAUCACUAAACACUGUUUCCAUACUCGUCCCUUAUCGAACCAUCGGCUUUGAUACUACUUGUUAGAGAUUUGGAGAGCCCAAAGCGCCUGAGGAGAAUCCUUCUAGAUGGGUCUUAUGAAAGAACACACUCAUGGAGUUGACACCAUAUCCAACCCAAACCUUAAGGCAAUGGUUCUAUGGGUCCUUCCCACUUACAUGUCUCUUGCUCAUCUCAUAUUUUUCCGAUGUGGGAAUUCUACAUUUGUAUA